CUGUAUUGCACACAGACAUAGUUUCAUCCAGCUUUAAAUUAAAAAAAAAUUAAAUUUUUUAAAUUUAAAAAUCCUUUUAAAUUAUCUUUUACUUUCCCUGCAGGUCUGCAGUCCUUUGAAGUGAUUUUGUAGUUUCCUUACCAGGGAACAGUGAGGUCCAGGGUCACCUCUGUCAUUUGUAGGAAAAACAACUUCUGUCACCCAGGAAAGUCUUAAAUGGAGGAAUUAAAAGAAUGCAUCUUUCAUGGUGGAGAAAAGUGUAAAGAAACAUGAGUAUCCCUAUAUGGACUGGUCAUUUGGGAUCCGUUUUCUGGUGUAUGGGGAAAAGGCACAUUUGGGGCCAUGCAGGUCCUUUGCCCCAUUCUGCACUGAGGAGAAGAUGAGCCAUGUUAUGGAAAUGCCCACUUCUUCAAGGGAAUUCAGGGAAGGAAUUGGCUCAGGAGCAGUCCAUCAGCCUUCUUUUUUUUGCAAGAUUCCAAUCUGUUAUGCCCAAAGCCCUCCUCACUGUUUUUCAUACUCAAGCUGUCGCUGGCUGGAUACUUGAAGCAUUUCCCAUGUCUAUUGCAGUAGUGUUCUGCUGUAAUUGCUGAAUUUCAGAGGAAAACGUAGAAUUUCUUUUGACUCCCAUGUUGUUUCCUGGUACAUAAAAUACAAAAGAUAAUAAUUUUCACUGUAAUUCUUUUGGCUCGUGGAGGUCAUCAAAGUGUCUUUUACCAUAGGAGGAAGUGUUUCAUGACAUCCAAAGACACUGUAACAAAAUAGUAGGAAUGAGCUGGUGACUCCAGCUCAGAUGGAGGGGGACAGACCCUGGAAACUUGCAGCCCUUACACAUCUUUAUUUUACACAAUGUAGCUCUACAGUUGUAUUAUUCAUAUAAACUCGUGGUGCUUUUUGGAUUUGUCCAGGAAGCUUAAGACACUGUGUACAACUCUUUCCCAUUUAUUUUGCAUUGUGAGUUUUUAAAGUUCUGGAGGUGCAAAGAUUUUCUUCCUUGUCAACAGAAAUACUUUAUUUGUUGCUUAUAAAGAUUUAAUGCAGAAAGGAUUAUUCUCCCCAAACCUAUGGAAUAUGCUUAUUUGCUGCAGAAAAAAAAUAGCAACAUUUUGGAAACUUCCAACAACUUGUAUUCAAGCCACAAAAGAGCUGCUGCCCUUUCAUGGGCACAAAUUCCUUGGGAAUUUAUCUCUUUUGUCUAAGUGUGUAAAUUGUAACUAAGAUAAUGUUUGUAAGAAAACAACACCCCUGUAUUUGUUAGGUUUAAGCUAAAAAAAAGAAGGCGAAAUUAGAACUAAUUAAGGUUUUAUGCCUUUCCUUGGUUUCCUUAUCCCGGUUUAAGAGAGGGAAAAAAAGCUCACUUGGAAAUAUUUUGUGCAUGGCCAUGAGUAGUUUAGAGUAAUGGUUGAUCUCAUGCAAUUUCCAAAAUUUAUUAGAUCUCUAAUUUCCAGAUAGUUUUACCCUUCACCUAGAAACUCAUGUCCAUAACCAUAUAGGAGGGAUCCAUUUAAUAUUACAAGUAAUAGAUUUUCUGCCACUCCAAGAUUUAA
rnacentral:lncRNA from 1 species